AGAGUUUGAUCAUGGCUCAGAACGAACGCUGGCGGCAGGCCUAACACAUGCAAGUCGAACGCACCUUCGGGUGAGUGGCAGACGGGUGAGUAACGCGUGGGAACGUGCCUUUCGGUUCGGAAUAACCCAGGGAAACUUGGGCUAAUACCGGAUACGCCCUUCGGGGGAAAGAUUUAUUGCCGAAAGAUCGGCCCGCGUCGGAUUAGCUUGUUGGUGGGGUAAUGGCCUACCAAGGCAACGAUCCGUAGCUGGUCUGAGAGGAUGACCAGCCACACUGGGACUGAGACACGGCCCAGACUCCUACGGGAGGCAGCAGUGGGGAAUAUUGGACAAUGGGCGAAAGCCUGAUCCAGCCAUGCCGCGUGGGUGAAGAAGGCCUUAGGGUUGUAAAUCCCUUUCAGCGGGGAAGAUAAUGACGGUACCCGCAGAAGAAGCCCCGGCUAACUCCGUGCCAGCAGCCGCGGUAAUACGGAGGGGGCUAGCGUUGUUCGGAAUUACUGGGCGUAAAGCGCGCGUAGGCGGACCUUCAAGUCAGGGGUGAAAUCCCGAGGCUCAACCUCGGAACUGCCUUUGAUACUGUUGGUCUUGAGUCCGGGAGAGGUGAGCGGAAUUCCUAGUGUAGAGGCGAAAUUCGUAGAUAUUAGGAAGAACACCAGUGGCGAAGGCGGCUCACUGGCCCGGUACUGACGCUGAGGCGCGAAAGCGUGGGGAGCAAACAGGAUUAGAUACCCUAGUAGUCC
rnacentral:rRNA from 1 species